rnacentral:rRNA from 1 species
UACAGAGGGGGCAAGCGUUAUUCGGAAUUACUGGGCGUAAAGCGUGCGUAGGCGGUUGGGUAAGUGAGCUGUGAAAGCCCCGGGCUUAACCUGGGAAUGGCGGUUGAAACUAGUCGACUCGAAUCUGGCAGAGGGGGGUGGAAUUCCACGUGUAGCAGUGAAAUGCGUAGAGAUGUGGAGGAACACCGAUGGCGAAGGCAGCCCCCUGGGCUGAGAUUGACGCUCAGGCACGAAAGCGUGGGGAGCAAACAGG